AUGACUAUUAUAGAUUUCAUAGAGCUGAGUGAUGAUGAUAUUAUCGACUUGAGCAGCGAUGAGGAGACUGUUCAAGAGGUUCAGAUUGCAACUCAACACCGGGCGACGUCGCUUGAUAGGCAGGGUAUGUUUUUCCUAGCUGGUGAAGGAAACCAAGGGGUGCAGGCCGUAUUUGUUGCAGCUGGUGAAGGAAGUCAAGAUGUCCAGGCCGUGUUUGUUGCAGCCAGUGAAGGAAGUCAAGAUGUGCAGACUGUGUUUGUUGCAGCUAGUGAAGGAAGGCAAGAGGCUGCUGAGCUCGGACAUGCUUUGGACGCUACAGCAUUGUCCAUGGUUAUGGAGAAAGCACCUCUUGUUGCUGCUAGUGAAGGAAGGCAGGAGGCUGCUGAGUCUGGACAUGCCUUGGAAGCUACCACGGUGUCCUUGGUUACAGAAACACCACCUCUAGGUACGGCUAAAUCACCGUACUGUCAUCGCUCUCCAAUAUCCGCGCCAUUCCCCAGCCCGACUUCCACCACUCCGAAAGCUCAGACUUCUGAAGGUGGCGACGCAAAGUCAGUGAGAGUGAAGAGGAAAUAUCGUAAGGGGAACUACCAUACCGACACUCCUAGGAGAAGUCCUAGGCUUAUACAGAUGGGUGAAUGUUGUACCAGUCCUGUGGAAGAGCUAGCAGCCGACCACAAGAGGUCUCACACGCUCGGGCCAGCAGAAGAAUCAGCUGCCUUUAUCAACUCAGCUGAAACGGUUGUCCUCGCUCUGCCACAUGCUGGAUCAACGAAUUGUCUUCGCUCUCCAACAUCAGUGACAUUCCUCGGCUUGAUUUCCACCAGUCCUAAAGCUGUGACUUCUGAAGGUGGCGAUGCAAAGCUGCUGAGAGCGAAGGCGAAACAUCCUGAGAGGAACUACCAUAUCUUGUCCUUGGUUAGGGAAAAAUCACCUCUUGGCCUGACUUCCAGCAGUCCGAAGGCUCUGUCCUCAGAAGGCGGCGAUGCAAAGCUGGUGAGCGGGAAGGUGAAACGUCAUAGGAAGAACUACCGACCCUGCAAACUAACUCUAAUUGACUGA
rnacentral:rRNA from 1 species